AGUAAGGUCCGUCAGUUGUAAUGAGACCCAGUGCAAGUGUAGAUGCCGACUCCCGUGGCAGAGUUCAGCGUUUCACACUGCCUGGUCUCUGUCACUCUAUUGAAUUAGAUUG
ensembl:miRNA